UCCUUCUGUCUGCUGAACACCCACCUUCUGAGGACUGCCCGUCGUCUGAAAUCUGCAGGUGCAACUCCCUCGACUUGGCAUUCAGCUCACUGCGGAAAGAAGGGCUAUGGAGCGGAGAGAGCCGCACGCCAUACAGCGAGCGCCCCGUGUCCUCAGACGAGGGUGGCCCCGCGCUGACCAGGAACUGGAUUGUCUCGCCCAGCACUCGACAAAACACCACCUGGAGGAGGGAGCAGAGAACACGCGAACUUCACGCCAGAGAGAGGAGAGCGUGCGCCUUGCCCAUCUUCAUUUCACUGAACAAAACAGCCUGGACUCUCUAGAUCAGCAAGCAUGAGAACUCAGUCUCAAAUGUGGGUGAAUAUCUAGAUGCAUAUUUUCUAUUACCCCAGAGCUUAAAAACUAGAAACAAUACUUCAAAUCUUUUCUUUCUGAUGUAUUCUCAGCACUUGCCCAAAUCUAGUUAGAAUCUUUCCACACAAUUUUUUUUUCCUUUAAAUAUUUCUUUUUUCUA